GACGAACGCUGGCGGCGUGCUUAACACAUGCAAGUCGAGCGGUAAGGCCCCUUCGGGGGUACACGAGCGGCGAACGGGUGAGUAACACGUGAGCAACCUACCCUCAACUUUGGGAUAAGCCUCGGAAACGGGGUCUAAUACCGGAUAACAUCAUGCUCCUCAAGGGGGGUGGUUGAAAGUUCUGGCGGUUGGGGAUGGGCUCGCGGCCUAUCAGCUUGUUGGUGGGGUAAUGGCCUACCAAGGCGUCGACGGGUAGCCGGCCUGAGAGGGCGACCGGCCACACUGGGACUGAGACACGGCCCAGACUCCUACGGGAGGCAGCAGUGGGGAAUAUUGCGCAAUGGACGAAAGUCUGACGCAGCAACGCCGCGUGAGGGAUGACGGCCUUCGGGUUGUAAACCUCUUUCAGCAGGGACGAAGCGAGAGUGACGGUACCUGCAGAAGAAGGACCGGCCAACUACGUGCCAGCAGCCGCCGUAAGAC
rnacentral:rRNA from 1 species